GUCGGGAUAGCUCAGCUGGUAGAGCAGAGACUGAAAA
rnacentral:tRNA from 1 species